UGGGGAAUUUUGGACAAUGGGCGCAAGCCUGAUCCAGCCAUGCCGCGUGCGGGAAGAAGGCCUUCGGGUUGUAAACCGCUUUUGUCAGGGAAGAAAUCUUCUGAGUUAAUACCUCGGGAGGAUGACGGUACCUGAAGAAUAAGCACCGGCUAACUACGUGCCAGCAGCCGCGGUAAUACGUAGGGUGCAAGCGUUAAUCGGAAUUACUGGGCGUAAAGCGUGCGCAGGCGGUUUUGUAAGACAGAGGUGAAAUCCCCGGGCUCAACCUGGGAACUGCCUUUGUGACUGCAAGGCUUGAGUGCAGCAGAGGGGGGAUGGAAUUCCGCGUGUAGCAGUGAAAUGCGUAGAUAUGCGGAGGAACACCGAUGGCGAAGGCAAUCCCCUGGGCCUGCACUGACGCUCAUGCACGAAAGCGUGGGGAGCAAACAGGAUUAGAUACCCUGGUAGUCCACGCCCUAAACGAUGUCAACUGGUUGUUGGGAAGGUUCCUUCUCAGUAACGUAGCUAACGCGUGAAGUUGACCGCCUGGGGAGUACGGCCGCAAGGUUGAAACUC
rnacentral:rRNA from 1 species